AUACGAAGGGGGCAAGCGUUGUUCGGAAUAACUGGGCGUAAAGCGCGCGUAGGCGGAAUGUUAAGUUAGAGGUGAAAUCCCAGGGCUCAACCCUGGAACGGCCUUUAAUACUGGCAAUCUAGAGACCGAGAGAGGUGAGUGGAAUUCCGAGUGUAGAGGUGAAAUUCGUAGAUAUUCGGAGGAACACCAGUGGCGAAGGCGGCUCACUGGCUCGGUACUGACGCUGAGGUGCGAAAGCGUGGGGAGCAAACAGGAUUAGAUACCCUAGUAGUCC
rnacentral:rRNA from 1 species